AUGAGUUCGGCGCGACGCACGCGAGCGUGCCCUGGACACGACGAGCAUGGGCUGCCAGGCCUUGGGCAACGAUCAGAUCUUACGUGCUUCCGGUGCAAUUCAUGCAAGGUCGACGUGCUGGCGACCGCCAAGAGCAACUGGAGGGCCGUGGCCAAUGCCGACGCCGCUACCCUCGCGCUCCUAAUUCUUGCCUAUUGCCUCGGCUGCUGCGGCCUCCGUGUCAACACCGCUGCGGCGACGGCCGUUACUACUGAUCGCUUAUUUUUUUUCAUUCAUUGGGGACGGGAUGGUUAA
rnacentral:rRNA from 1 species